UAUGCCUAUGUUCUCUCUCUUCUUGACUUCGACUGUUAUAUGGUAUGAGUAAUAUGACACUGGUUUUUUAUCAUUCAUUUUUGAUGUAUUCAGCUUGCAUUGAUCAUUGAGGUACGCCUGACCACCCUGCAAGAACUUGCACAUUGGAACACCAAGAAGGGGCUAUUUGCUGGGGUGCUGCUUAUUCUGUGCGUGGGGGCCCUGAAAGGGAAAGACUGGCUAUGGAGUACUUGGAAAGGAGAGAAUGUGAAUAUGAUGCAAAGACUCUUGUGAAUUAAUUCAAAUCAGUGAAUUGUUGAGUUAUCAAAUAUGUUGGUAUUAGGAGAAACAGGAUCUGUG